rnacentral:rRNA from 1 species
AGUGAACGCUGGCGGUAGGCCUAACACAUGCAAGUCGAACGGCAGCACAGUAAGAGCUUGCUCUUACGGGUGGCGAGUAGCGGACGGGUGAGGAAUACAUCGGAAUCUACUUUUUCGUGGGGGAUAACGUAGGGAAACUUACGCUAAUACCGCAUACGACCUACGGGUGAAAGCAGGGGAUCUUCGGACCUUGCGCGAUUGAAUGAGCCGAUGUCGGAUUAGCUAGUUGGCGGGGUAAAGGCCCACCAAGGCGACGAUCCGUAGCUGGUCUGAGAGGAUGAUCAGCCACACUGGAACUGAGACACGGUCCAGACUCCUACGGGAGGCAGCAGUGGGGAAUAUUGGACAAUGGGCGCAAGCCUGAUCCAGCCAUACCGCGUGGGUGAAGAAGGCCUUCGGGUUGUAAAGCCCUUUUGUUGGGAAAGAAAAGCAGCAGGUUAAUACCCCGCUGUUCUGACGGUACCCAAAGAAUAAGCACCGGCUAACUUCGUGC